UCCACNNAAAGANAUAGUGAGCUCCAGGCAGGCCUAUGCUCGAAUACAUUAGCAUGGAAUAAUAGAAUAGGACGUGUGGUUCUAUUUUGUUGGUUUCUAGGACCGCCGUAAUGAUUAAUAGGGACAGUCGGGGGCAUCAGUAUUCAAUUGUCAGAGGUGAAAUUCUUGGAUUUAUUGAAGACUAACUACUGCGAAAGCAUUUGCCAAGGAUGUUUUCAUUUAUCAGGAACGAAAGUUAGGGGAUCGAAGACGAUCAGAUACCGUCGUAGUCUUAACCAUAAACUAUGCCGACUAGGGAUCGGACGAUGUUAUUUUUUGACUCGUUCGGCACCUUACGAGAAAUCAAAGUGCUUGGGCUCCAGGGGGAGUAUGGUCGCAAGGCUGAAACUUAAAGAAAUUGACGGAAGGGCACCACCAGGGGUGGAGCCUGCGGCUUAAUUUGACUCAACACGGGGAAACUCACCAGGUCCAGACACAAUGAGGAUUGUGAAAUCCCACCGGAGAAUAGCGGUGGGGCCGUGUCCGUCCGAGGUGGACCCAUUUACACUCCGUGCCGACACUCCGGCGGUCGGGGGAAGUGUGGGACCCGAACACCCCCGCCUCCCCGACGGGAGGGCCGUAUCGCUGUGAAACUAAAAAAAAAACCCGGGCGAUGAUGAUGGUGAACGUCUCACACAAGACGAGCCACACAACGAAAGUAAGUCGCUGUGGUCUGGUCAGCCGACGGGCCUCCGAGUCAACCCUGGCCGUGCAGGUAGAAGGAUUAUUGGAUGCAGCAAGGAAUACAAGGUGUCACAGACAUCAAUUACAUUCAACGAGGCUUUUCUAUCUAAUCCUACCCCUCCCUCUCCUUGCCCUUUCAUGGAUUUCUC
rnacentral:ncRNA from 1 species